UGGUGUUUGAGAUAAAGUCAAAAGUAAAAGUGCUCAAUAAGGCGAGGCAACCGCCAACAGCAGCAGCAGGUAUCACGGCAGAGGAGCCCAAAGCGAAGAUCCCAGUGGGAUUACGGCCAAAUCCAAUGGCUCAUUUUAUUGCCUAGGUGUUGGCCAAAAGUUGUCGCCCCAAGUCCCAAGAAGCAACACUAUUACACCAGAUUAUUUUUCAACGAGUAGACUGUGUGGAAAGAGGGCAAUACACGUCUUCCUUGUUCGAUGCGCAGUUAGAGAUGGAAAUCAUCGAUGUUGGCUUGCGGAACAUCGAUGCUACCGAUGUUUUGAAAACAUAUCGAUGUCGACAUCGAAGUUUCUCCACCUAUAUCAGGUCACUAACUUUAAAAUUACCAUCGCUAGCCAAAAAAAAAUUAAAACAAAAACGCAAAUAUUUACAAUUUUUGAAUUGCAAAUUUGGCGCCACAACGCAUCCUUCCGUUAGGUGCCUCAAGAAUUACUUUUGCGGGCAUUACCCACCACCGAAGUCUAAUCCAUCAUGUCCCCGCCCAAAGCAAUUUACACAAACAUCUCGACUGUUUGUUUACAUUUAAUUUUGAAACCUUUAAUAUCAACUAAAUACCACCGCAUAUUUGUAAAGGUGGUCAAAGCGGAAAUGUUUUGAGUACACAAAAACAAAUAAGUGCUCCACAAGUGCGGUCAGAGCUUUCGUUACGGCACCGAUAUCGGAUGUCGAAGCUAUCCUGAGGAGCUGUAAGGGAAAGGGAAAGACGUGCAGGAGAGGAAAGUACAUCUAAACAAAUCCCAUCAUUCGUUAGAUUUCGCGACUCAAUUAAAAUGUGGUUGGACGCGUGGAAUGCACGGUCCCAAUACCGAAUUAGCUGUACACUGCAUAAAGGUGGCCUAAAACAUGGUGUCUGGCCAGGGAAGUUGGGCAAGGAAUGAAAGCCCAGCUGCAAUUCGUCGACAACCUGAAGGGGCCCGGAAACAAGGGGCAAUGUGUCUGUGGCCGCAGGGAUGAGCUAGUUGCUCGGCACGGGUAUUUGGUCCCAGAACGGGCCGAAAGUAUUAUCGAAUGUGGCUCCUGAUCCUUGGGAUUCCGCUGAUCGUGCUCGUCAUUAACUGCUGCUGUUGCUGAUGCAACUGCUGGUGAUGCUGAUUCUGCUGCCGAAGUCUGCUGAUGCAAUUGCCGAUGCCUGUAGGUUUGGCUACCAACGUCUGUAUAUGCUGCUGGCUUAAGUCUGAAGAUGCUGCUGCCAAAGUGCGCAAGACUACUGCUGGUUGCUGCUUAUUGCUGCUAAUGCUUCUGCUUGCUUCGGAUUGCUGCGGAUUGCUGCUACGUGGCAGGUGCAGGCUUAGAUGAUUUAGCUGAGUCCACGCGGAGCAGCAAAUCUGAAACAAUCACAAUUGCAUCAGCCACCGCCUGCAGCAGCCACAAACAGCUCCUUGAUGCAAACAAAGACAAUUUUUUGCUUUUAUUUAUUUAAUAAAGCUUAUGUUGUUUUUAAUUUUUU